GGUGUGGCCGUGGGACCCGUGCGAAUUACUAUAAAAAAAAAAAAAAAAAAGAAGUAUUCGUUGCUACAACUACUCUAAUGAACACAUGAGAAAAGACUGCAAGGCAGAAACAAAAUGUUUUAAAUGUGCAGGCAGCGGUCAUAUAUCUUCAAAUUGUCCACAAGCUGUAAAAAGUGUUCAAGUCGUAAAUGAUACUAAGCGCUUGAAAGUAGUUUUGCUGAACGGUACAGAGGUCGCCUGCCUUGUGGACACAGGAUCCGAUGUGUCAAUCGUAUUUCAGUCGUUGUACAAUAAACUUCAAAGUACUGUGAUGCAAAAGUGUUAUUCCGGUCUACGAGGCCUUGGAAACGCUACGACGCAGCCGCUAGGUUCAUUUAUGGGCAGAGUACACGUUGACGGGAUCGAAGCCAUACGAAAGUUUGUUGUGAUACCAAACAAUCACAUCGAGAACGACGUAAUACUUGGCUUUGACUUUCAUCUUUAUAAAGGCGUCAGCGCGGCCGGAAUGCGCUGAAUCAAAAGAGCUAAGUAUGUACAAUAUUGUUGGGACUGGUAGUAACAUAGAUGCUUCUCCACAGUACAAGUCGAUGAUCGAGUCAAUGAUAGCAAGCCAGCCGAAAACAACGCUGAAUGUCCGGUGUCGAUAAAGAUCGGGAUAGAGGAGAGUACAAAACCAUUUCGUCAUCAACCAAGCCGUCACUUAGCUGUGGAAUCCGAGUCGAUCAGAAAACAAGUUCACGCCUGGUUGCGGGAUAGCAUUGUGCGCAAAUCUUCAUCGAACUUUGCAAGUCGACCCGUCGUUGUCAAGAAGAAGAAUGGCACGGACAGAAUCUGCGUUGACUUUCGUCAAUUAAAUAGUAUGGUACUUAAGUACUGCAUCCCAGUGCCACGCAUGGAUGAUGUGCUGGAACAGCAUCAGUCCGCAAAUGUAUUCGUAGUUAUGGAUCUAGAGAAUAGCUUCCUCCACGUACCGAUUGAGGAGUCCAGCCGCAAGUUUACAGCGUUCAUAACCGAGAAAGAGCUAAACAAGAAACAAUCGGAUGAGCUAAAGCAGCGCAUGAAUACAGAUAUCCUAAACAGUUUGGAAUUCAUAAAGACCAACCUUUAGCGAUCUGAGAUGGAGGGCCGUCAGCGUUUAGAGCAGCGUUUAGAUGACACUGUACGGGAACUAGCUGCUCAGCGUCGUCACUUCAAGGAGGAGGAGGAGAAGUUCCGUGAAUCAAUUAACGAGUUGGUGGCCAAGCAGGAGGAGAAAAUCAAGAAGCUUCGCAGCUCAGAGGCUGAACUGAAGAACUGAAGUCAGCCCAGGACGAUCUAAAGAGCUUGCUAGAGAAGCUUACGGAAGCUAAUUGCACUAUUCGGACGCUGCGUUCCGAAAACACGAGCCUGGUUGAAUCUCUUAAUGUUGUGGAGGUGAAUUAUGCUAACGGAAUGAUACAGCAUUCUGCAGAUAUUCAGGAGCUAACCCGUUACAAGGCCGAAUUCUUCAAAGCCAACGACGCACUCAACCAAUUAAAGUCAGGUUGGGAAUCAUUGCAAGCCGCAUACGAUGAACUUUUGCGUUCGAAUGUCGAAGCCCAAAAGCUGCUGGACAAGGAGAGGGAGGAGUCAGAGAAGAGAGUGGCUGAUUUGCAUGCAUUGAACUCCAACUUACAAAUCUGUAGAGGCGACUGAAGCAGUGGGUCAUAAAAAUCUCGAUGAAUAAUCGAUAGGGGGUUGGCGGUCAGCAGUGACACACCAAUGUAAGAUGCAGUAAGAUGUAGCUAGAAUAUACCAGACUAGAUGCAACCCUUAUAAGCCGCACCCGAUAAGUUUGGGAUAAUUCGGUUAUCGGGAAAAAGUGUGGUUCAGCUGAUCGUGCAAUAUUAAGCCGAAAAGAUCGUUGUUUGGCGCAGCCAUCUCACCGCCGCCUUGUCGCCCCAGUUUCGACUGGGUCAAUCCCAGCAGAAAUUGAAGGCAGGAGGGUCUUCGCUUGGCAUCUUUUACGUAUCCGCAUCACUGCCCUGGUCCCACAGUUCUACGGGGCCGCCACCGGCGGGCAGAAGGAGAGACGAUAACUACGCCAGGCCGUGAAGUGGAGCGCCUUCCCAGCGAGGAGGAGCGAAGGACCAGCCGCAGUAGCAGGACCGCAACCGCCCUAAACCGGGACCCUAGGAGGAUUGUUUAAAUAAAUAGCCAAAAGGCAACAACUCCGAAAGUGAGGUUAAAAGAGGCGAAAAAUUUAGCGGGAUUUAGUCCGGAAUACACAGUGCCCAAAUGGAAGUUACAUUUAUAGCGCGAUUGGUAGUCCAAAAUGGACAUAAAGAAAAUUAAAAACAAUAGUGAGUUUAAGUUGAUCUAAAUUCUGAAUUUAUGCGGGAAAACGCUAAAUAUCAGGGCUAACCUGUACUUAAAUGUAUUAAUUCCCGAACCGCCAUCUUGAACGUAGAGAGAGAAAAAAGCUAAAUUUUUUUUUAUGUAAUUUAAGUUUAACAAUAAGCUAUAAGAAUAUGUACUCGAGUAGGAGACUCAGUCAUGCCGUUUUGUAAUUUUUCUUGCAUUUGAAUUGAAUUUCCGUUCGUACUUAAAAUUUGUAUAUAGUAGGUAAGCUAACCUAAGCUAGUCAUUUCUUUAGAAGAGUUCAUUUUCUGAGAGUGCCCCUUUGAAUUUUCGAGUAAGAAUUCAUGAGAGUUUGUUCGCAGUCGUGUGAUCCAAAAUUAUACCUUCUCGAAGUGUUUGCGGAAAAUGCCACGCUUUCGUUUCAGCUCAUCUGCGCCGGGAGAUCGAUCUUUCGCCGAGGAGUGAAAAGUUGAUUGAGUUUCAUUUAUAAAACUUUAAUUUCUUAUUGGAAAUAUUCGGUAGUACACCGAUAACAUUUUACUGGAGGUCAUCAUUUCUUUUAUGGCGCGCCAAGUAUCAUAUAUUUUAUACACACUGCUAAUAAACAAUUAAUACUAAUGGAGUGGCGAUAGCAGCCGUUUGAAAUAUAAAGGGGAAAAAAAAGAAAGGAGAAAAUCUAACCGAAUUUACUCUCGGCUCACUCUCAAACAAAAUUAAUUUUUCUUCUCGUUAAGGAUUCUUAUAACGAUAAAACCCAAAAAAAAUAAUAAUUCAUGGAACAAGAUUAUAGAGAGAACUCUAAAAAUAAUGGAAGAUUUAAAUGAAUGCUUUGUUCCUUCCCUUAAAUAUAUUUAGCCUCUAGUAACUUUAACUCUUUAAUUGUAACGGUCUCGAAUAUCGACUUAAACCUUCUUUUUCUGAUCUCGCAACUAAGAAAAACCUUGCUUUAGGUUCUUUGAGUUGCUCUAGUUUGUAUUGCCAUAUUUACUUGUUUCCUUUAGUAUGUACUUAUUUUUAUAGAUAUAAAUAUUGUUAUUAACGAUUAAUAUUGAAAAUAUGAAUUUCUAAAAACCUAAA